GGGCGGGUAGCUCAGCGGGAGAGCAUCGGCCUUACAAGCCGGGGGUCGCAGGUUCAAAUCCUGUUCCGCCCACCA
rnacentral:tRNA from 4 species